UCCUAAAUGAUUUCUUUGCAUCUGUGUUCCUGGACAUGAAUAUAAGCAUGCAUCCCAAUGGGACUUUAGGGUACUUAGGGAAUUAACUGGAGUCAUAGCAGAUCCAUUGGCACAACUGUUUGAGCAUUCGUGGCCCUCAGGACAGAUCCCAGAGGAUUG